rnacentral:lncRNA from 1 species
UUAGAAAUGAAAAACUGAAUAUAUUAUAUUAUAUUUAUGGUAGGUAAAGUUUUUUUUGAGAAUAGGUAGCACGCUACCUGCUUCAUUCAUUGAAUAAAUGAAUUAGGCUACAAAGAUGAGACAACCAAAAUCUCGAAAAAAAAAAAAAAAAAAAGAUGUCAUAGAGCGUCUUUUCAAGAAUCAAUCAAAAGCUUGAGUCUUCGCACCGCUAAAAUAGGGUCAAACUGAAUAUCACGAAAAAUAAGAUUAUUUCUAGCCAUCCAAAUGGUCCAUCAACGUGCAGCUAAUUCAGAUAGACCGUUUCUUCUACUAUGGUAGGUAAAGUUCGAUGGAAUAUUUUACGCACCUCGUUGGGCACUGUGUGCUAUAAGUUAUUAUAAGUAAAAUAUUUGACGUACAACCCCCCCCCUGAAUCUAUGUCGAAGUCAAAUUAGUACAUCUUUUUAAGGGAAAACUUCAAAAACCCCCCCUGUGGUUUCGUGCAUUCUCACUUUGCUAUCCUGUGGUUUAAAACGUAUCAAUUUGCCCCCCUGUGGUUUCGUUUUUAUCUUUUUGUUAUCAAUUUUAUUAUUAUUUUUUUUAAAAUCAGUGACAAAGUUAAAAUUAAAGGAUACUAAAGUGACUAUUCGAUAAAUAUAUAUGGUUAUCUGAAGUUUUUUGUAUAUAAUUUAACGAAAUAUUAACGAAAAAGCUUCCGAAAAGAUAAAAAUGAAACCACACGGGGGUAAAUUGAUACGUUUUAAACCACAGGGUAGCAAAGUGAGAAUGCACGAAAUCACAGGGGGGGUUUUUGAAGUUUUUCCUCUUUUUAAUGAAUGUUG